GUGCUCGCUUCAGCAGCACAUAUACUAAAAUUGGAAUGAUACAGAGAAGAUUAGCAUGGCCCCUGUGCAAGGAUGAUAUGCAAAUUUGUGAAGCAUUAAAAAAAAAA
ensembl:snRNA Gm25524 predicted gene, 25524